rnacentral:rRNA from 1 species
UACGUAGGGACCAAGCGUUGUUCGGAUUUACUGGGCGUAAAGGGCGCGUAGGCGGCUUAACAAGUCACUUGUGAAAUCUCCGGGCUUAACUCGGAACGGCCAAGUGAAACUGUCAAGCUAGAGUGCAGAAGGGGCAAUCGGAAUUCUUGGUGUAGCGGUGAAAUGCGCAGAUAUCAGGAGGAACACCGGUGGCGAAGGCGGGUCUCUGGGCCGAUACUGACGCUGAGGAGCGAAAGCAUGGGGGAGCGAACAGG